rnacentral:rRNA from 1 species
UGGGGAAUUUUGCGCAAUGGGGGAAACCCUGACGCAGCAACGCCGCGUGCGGGACGACGGCCCUCGGGUUGUAAACCGCUUUCAGUGGGGACGAUGGUGACGGUACCCACAGAAGAAGCUCCGGCUAACUACGUGCCAGCAGCCGCGGUAAUACGUAGGGAGCGAGCGUUAUCCGGAUUCAUUGGGCGUAAAGCGCGCGUAGGCGGCUGCCUAAGCGGAACCUCUAAUCCCGGGGCUCAACCUCGGGCCGGGUUCCGAACUGGGCGGCUCGAGUGCGGUAGAGGCAGGCGGAAUUCCCGGUGUAGCGGUGGAAUGCGCAGAUAUCGGGAAGAACACCGAUGGCGAAGGCAGCCUGCUGGGCCGUCACUGACGCUGAGGCGCGAAAGCUGGGGGAGCGAACAGG